GACGAACGCUGGCGGCGUGCUUAACACAUGCAAGUCGAACGGAAAGGCCCUGCUUUUGUGGGGUGCUCGAGUGGCGAACGGGUGAGUAACACGUGAGUAACCUGCCCUUGACUUUGGGAUAACUUCAGGCAACUGGGGCUAAUACCGGAUAGGAGCUCCUGCUGCAUGGUGGGGGUUGGAAAGUUUCGGCGGUUGGGGAUGGACUCGCGGCGUAUCAGCUUGUUGGUGGGGUAGUGGCUUACCAAGGCUUUGACGGGUAGCCGGCCUGAGAGGGUGACCGGCCACAUUGGGACUGAGAUACGGCCCAGACUCCUACGGGAGGCAGCAGUGGGGAAUAGUGCACAAUGGGCGGAAGCCUGAUGCAGCAACGCCGCGUGCGGGAUGACGGCCUUCGGUUUGUAAACCGCUUUCGCCUGUGACGAAGCGUGAGUGACGGUAAUGGGUAAAGAAGCACCGGCUAACUACGUG
rnacentral:rRNA from 1 species